rnacentral:lncRNA from 1 species
GUUUCUUUACUUUGCUCCUCUCCUUCAUCAUAUACUAAUUGGUUAUAAUUUGAUAUCACUGUUUCCAUUAUUUUUCUUGUAGUGGGGGGUAGGUUUAUAUCUAUAUGCUCAGUUUGAUUUGGUGCAAUGGAAAUUGAGUUUUUCUUUUGGCUCUGACUGUAUUUCUUUCUAAUGAAAAUAAGUUUUCUGAGAAUAUUCUCUUUGAAAAGUGUUUUACUUCAUUGGGGUUUCAAUUCAUACUUAACACAAGGUCCGGAAGAGGUUUCCGUUUUUUGUUUUAGUUUUUAGACUAAGAAAAUGCUCAUGCGUAUCUCAACCAUUCAUAUCUAAUAUAACUGCUAAGAAACGUGAAUCAAAGAAAGGCCUUUGUAGAGAACAGUUAUAUGUAUGUAUAUAAAAUACCUACUCAAGAGCAUAUUGUGACAUUUCUUAUGGAACAUCUACUAAAUUUCACAAUAAGAGUAGAGGAAUUUCCACAAAAAAUCCUAUAUUUUUUAAAUAUCAUCUCAGGCUUGCAUUUCGUAUAUUACAAGUGAGCUUGAAAUGUGGACAUACUGUACUCAAGUGAAAUUUAUCUGGCUGUUCAGUAUAAAUGAAUCAAUUCACUUGUGAACUGGUUCUUUUUAUGCUAAACUAGUGGGCUACUUGAACUUCACCAGCCGAGCUUAAGCCAGAAGCAAAGCUUGUGGAAAAGAUCCUAAGCUCAAGCUUGAUGGGUCUCAGCUUGUUGUUUCUAUAUAUUUUAGUAUAAUUACAUGUCAAUGCAGAUUUAUAUAAGUGUAUAUAUGCUAUAGAUACUAAAUAUUGUACAUAUAUAUGAUAUAGGCAAGGUACAGUUUGAGCCUGAGUUUACUACGGGGAAAGACUCGAUUUGAGUCCUAAUAACGGGCAUCCUUUACUCAAGUGUGACAUU